CCUACCAAGGCUUUGACGGGUAGCCGGCCUGAGAGGGUGACCGGCCACACUGGGACUGAGACACGGCCCAGACUCCUACGGGAGGCAGCAGUGGGGAAUAUUGGACAAUGGGCGGAAGCCUGAUCCAGCAACGCCGCGUGAGGGAUGACGGCCUUCGGGUUGUAAACCUCUUUCAGCACAGACGAAGCUGUCGCUACGUGUGGGGGUGGUGACGGUAUGUGCAGAAGAAGCACCGGCCAACUACGUGCCAGCAGCCGCGGUAAUACGUAGGGUGCGAGCGUUGUCCGGAAUUAUUGGGCGUAAAGGGCUCGUAGGCGGUUUGUCGCGUCGGGAGUGAAAUCCACUGGCUUAACUGGUGGCUUGCUUUCGAUACGGGCAGACUGGAGGUAUGCAGGGGAGAACGGAAUUCCUGGUGUAGCGGUGAAAUGCGCAGAUAUCAGGAGGAACACCGGUGGCGAAGGCGGUUCUCUGGGCAUGUCCUGACGCUGAGGAGCGAAAGUGUGGGGAGCGAACAGGAUUAGAUACCCUGGUAGUCCACGCCGUAAACGUUGGGCGCUAGGU
rnacentral:rRNA from 1 species